AGAGUUUGAUUCUGGCUCAGAUUGAACGCUGGCGGCAGGCUUAACACAUGCAAGUCGAGCGGAAACGAAGGUAGCUUGCUACCAGACGUCGAGCGGCGGACGGGUGAGUAAUGCUUAGGAAUCUACCGAGUAGUGGGGGAUAGCCAUUGGAAACGAUGAUUAAUACCGCAUAUAUCCUACGGGGGAAAGCAGGGGACCUUCGGGCCUUGCGCUAUUCGAUGAGCCUGAGUGAGAUUAGCUAGUUGGUGGGGUAAAGGCCUACCAAGGCGACGAUCUCUAGCUGGUCUGAGAGGAUGAUCAGCCACACUGGGACUGAGACACGGCCCAGACUCCUACGGGAGGCAGCAGUGGGGAAUAUUGCACAAUGGACGAAAGUCUGAUGCAGCCAUGCCGCGUGUGUGAAGAAGGCCUUCGGGUUGUAAAGCACUUUCAGCGAGGAGGAAAGGUCAGUAAGUAAUAUUUGCUGGCUGUGACGUUACUCGCAGAAGAAGCACCGGCUAAUUUAGUGCCAGCAGCCGCGGUAAUACUAAAGGUGCAAGCGUUAAUCGGAAUUACUGGGCGUAAAGCGCGCGUAGGUGGUUUGUUAAGUUGGGUGUGAAAGCCCAGGGCUCAACCUUGGAACUGCAUUCAAAACUGACUCACUAGAGUACGAGAGAGGUUAGUAGAAUUUCCUGUGUAGCGGUGAAAUGCGUAGAGAUGGGAAAGGAACACCAGUGGCGAACGCGACUGACUGGCUCGAUACUGACACUG
rnacentral:rRNA from 1 species